AAGCAACUCCAAGAAGUUUCUUGCUGCAGGGACCGUUGUUUUGUAGAUUGUAUUGGUUCUGCGUCGACUUAGAUCUCCAAUCUCUCCAGUGAUUCCAUUCUCUAAAUCUGUCUGAAAAGCCUCUGCAAUACCUCGGACGCCACCAAAUGCAUGCAAGGAAUCUAGGUCCCGUCCCUUUACUAUAUUGGCAAUGUUUUCAUGUUGUAGUUUGAUAUCGCUCGUAGCAUUGCCGACCUCAUCAUUGUGAGUGGCAUCAAGAGAUACUUGAUGCGUUGGUGCUAGCAACUCAAACAAGUAUUAUGUGUUUGAUAAUGCUUUUAGAAACAGUAGUAUAGAGAUGGAACAAUGGCAUAACCAAGGAAAACACAUACCCUGUGAGAUGGAGAUGACAGCAAGACUCUUGGAGAAUCAAGAGUCUCCUUCUUAUCGUUGUAGGCUUUGGAGAAGAAAACGUGCCCUGCUCGUAAAACCAAGAUAGCAGACCGCAAAACAUUCCUUGGCGCUGGAAUUGCUGGCCCUAGCAGUCCUAUCUCUAGAGAUUCGGGGUCCAUCUCCCGACUUGUUUCGCUACUACUUGUCAUUUCUUUUAGCUCGAUUCUUUCUUCCCAGCAGGAAAGUAAAGAUUAUAGUAUCAAGAAGAAGAAGAAGGGAUUUUUCAAUACAAGCUGUGGUGUAGAUGAUGAAGUCAAGGGGGGUGAGUGAUCAGUGUGUGUGUUUGUAUAAAUAGAAAGGGAGAUGGAAGAAGGAAGUCAGGCUAAUAAAUAGGGUCGGUGAUUGUGUCUGAAAUAGCAAGUAUGGCUGAAUGAGAAGAGUGUCGACGAAGCUGCUGUGUUCAGAGGAGGAAGUUGUAGUGUAAUUUACUUUCCCGGUUUCCAUUUCUUUUUGGGGGCCGAUGAUGUGCAUGAAAUCAAUUGGUAAAGCCUACAAGUUGUCGUUUC